GAUGAACGCUGGCGGCGUGCCUAAUACAUGCAAGUCGAGCGAACUGAUUAGAAGCUUGCUUCUAUGACGUUAGCGGCGGACGGGUGAGUAACACGUGGGUAACCUGCCUGUAAGACUGGGAUAACUUCGGGAAACCGAAGCUAAUACCGGAUAGGAUCUUCUCCUUCAUGGGAGAUGAUUGAAAGAUGGUUUCGGCUAUCACUUACAGAUGGGCCCGCGGUGCAUUAGCUAGUUGGUGAGGUAACGGCUCACCAAGGCAACGAUGCAUAGCCGACCUGAGAGGGUGAUCGGCCACACUGGGACUGAGACACGGCCCAGACUCCUACGGGAGGCAGCAGUAGGGAAUCUUCCGCAAUGGACGAAAGUCUGACGGAGCAACGUCGCGUGAGUGAUGAAGGCUUUCGGGUCGUAAAACUCUGUUGUUAGGGAAGAACAAGUACAAGAGUAACUGCUUGUACCUUGACGGUACCUAACCAGAAAGCCACGGCUAACUACGUGCCAGCAGCCGCGGUAAUACGUAGGUGGCAAGCGUUAUCCGGAAUUAUUGGGCGUAAAGCGCGCGCAGGCGGUUUCUUAAGUCUGAUGUGAAAGCCCACGGCUCAACCGUGGAGGGUCAUUGGAAACUGGGGAACUUGAGUGCAGAAGAGAAAAGCGGAAUUCCACGUGUAGCGGUGAAAUGCGUAGAGAUGUGGAGGAACACCAGUGGCGAAGGCGGCUUUUUGGUCUGUAACUGACGCUGAGGCGCGAAAGCGUGGGGAGCAAACAGG
rnacentral:rRNA from 2 species